GAAAAGAAACCAACAGGGAUUGCCUUAGUAACGGCGAGUGAAGCGGCAAAAGCUCAAAUUUGAAAUCUGAUAUCUCUGAUGUCCGAGUUGUAAUUUGGAGAGACAUCUUCUGGAGGGGCCCAGCCUAUGUGCCUUGGAACAGGACAUCAUAGAGGGUGAGAAUCCCGUUCUUGGCUGGAUGUUCCCUCCCCUAUGUGGAGUCUUCUACGAGUCGAGUUGUUUGGGAAUGCAGCUCAAAAUGGGUGGUAAAUUUCAUCUAAAGCUAAAUACUGGCGAGAGACCGAUAGCGCACAAGUAGAGUGAUCGAAAGAUGAAAAGCACUUUGAAAAUAGAGUCAAAAAGUACGUGAAAUUGUUGAAAGGGAAGCGCUUGAGAUCAGAGUCAGCCUUUGGCAAACAACUGUCCUUAUGGGCGGUGCACUUGUCAUUGGUUGGGUCAGCAUCGGUUGGGACGGUAGGAUAAAGGCUUGGGAAAUGUGACUCCUUUAUGGAGUGUUAUAGUCCCGGGUGGCAUGCUAUCAGUCUCGACCGUGGACCGCGCCUUGGCUCGGAUGCUGGCUUAAUGGUCUUCAGCGACCCGUCUUGAAACACGGACCAAGGAGUCUAACGUCUAUGCAAGUGUUUGGGCUUCAAACCCUCACGCGUAAUGAAAGUGAAC
rnacentral:rRNA from 1 species